UACGAAGGGGGCUAGCGUUGCUCGGAAUCACUGGGCGUAAAGGGUGCGUAGGCGGGUCUUUUAAGUCAGGGGUGAAAUCCUGGAGCUCAACUCCAGAACUGCCUUUGAUACUGAGGGGCUCGAGUCCGGGAGAGGUGAGUGGAACUGCGAGUGUAGGGGUGAAAUUCGUAGAUAUUCGCAAGAACACCAGUGGCGAAGGCGGCUCACUGGCCCGGUACUGACGCUGAGGUGCGAAAGCGUGGGGAGCAAACAGG
rnacentral:rRNA from 1 species